ensembl:lncRNA
UCAGCAGCCUCACAGUGGACUGGAGAGGGGUGGACUACAUGAAGAUUGGGGCUCACUCAGGACUGGCCUGUUCAAGUAGGGAGGCAGGACCGGGGCUGAGACCACCUUACACUGCUCAGCCCCCCCGCCCCCCACCCACCCAUCACACCCCCCACCAGCACCCCUCCUCCACUCCCGACACACUCUCUCUCCCUUGUCCUGUGCCUGUCUCUCUCCAUUCUACCAAGCAGCCAGCCAGACCUCCUCUCUCUUCUUCUGCCCUGUCGACAUCCCUCGCCUUUCCACGCCUUUCUCCCUCAGCCUCCUCAGCCGUGGCCGUCUGCCCUCGCCGCCUCAGACUUGGACCGUCAAUCUAUCUACAACAAGUUCCCUGGGACUUUUUCAGAAACUUUUUCCUCAAUUACUUUUUUCUUUUUUUGCUACCUCCCUUGAGACUCCAGUGCGGGUUGUGCUGUGUGUGAUAGGGGAUAGUGUUGCUCUUCGCCCUCGGGGUCUCUGUACGCUGUUGACCGGAGGAGAAGACUACUUGUCACCAUGAUCAAAGUUCAGCUGCUGCUCUUGCUGGGCCUGGUCGGCCCCUUCUGUGCCGUCGCACACGCAAGCACACUGGUGACCCCAUUAGAAAGGGUGUCGGAUAUCCCUGCUGCCACCGAUAUCCUCGAAGGCGCCACCGAUGCCCCCACGGCUGAACCCAAGACUGCGACCGAUGAGGUCGGAACGAAAGCCCCUGCCACCGAUAAACCCGUCACUACUCAGGUCGAUGAGGCUGCCCCGAAUGUGACAGAGGCCGCUCCCACGGAGACCGAGGCCACUGAGGCUGCCGGGCAGGAGGCGGCCACAACGGAGGCCCCUGCUGUUGCCACCAUGGCCCCGGCGAACCCCGAAGCCACGGCAGAGGCUGAGGAGGAGGAGUUGGUGGUGGAGGAGGGUAAGGAUAGGAGAUGUCAGCUACAGAUGUAGAGAUCAUGAAGCUGAGAAACUCUGUCAAUGCUACGGUCUGUAGGUGCUCCCUUAGGCUGGAAUCAGAGGGCAAGGAUAGGUGUAGAGCUCAAGAUGAAAUUGCUCUGCCCCCAGUCUCUAAAUUUCUAUCCUUGCCUUUUAGGCAAUUGUCUCUCUCCCCAUUUCUAUAAUUUUUUCCCCUUCUCUCAGUUUCCUUCCUGUUUCACCAAACGGGUUGUUGAUUCCCUAUGGUUGGGUAACUUGGUCUUUGUGUUCCUUCCACAGAGGGCACUGGCUCUGGACAAGUGGUGGGUAUUGUGAUUGGCGCAUUGGUGGCAGUGAUCAUUGUCAUCGCCGUGGUGAUCGCCUUGGUGAGGAGAAUGGGCAAAUACUCCCCCUGAGGAGAAAGGCUGCAAGACAGGAAGUCCCAAAAAAGUUCUGGCAAUUCUGAACUACGUAAUUUCCUGUCAUUAAGCAAGCAUGCUACCAGCACGAACCUAACCAAGAUCUUGUACUGUUGCCAAAAGGAGGGGGAGGUGUGGGGGGGAGAAGAAUGUUUCUCCCCCAACCCCCAGACAGAGCCAUUGAUAUCAAUGGUCCUGCCCAACCACACAGCAACCCUCCACGCUAAUAUCCAAACAGGGGGAUGACCCACCCCCCCACUGACAUCCACAGUGACCCACAGGAUGCCAGUGAAUUUCAGGAUUUUUCAUAUGUGUUUGUAAAAAGAAAGGAAGUAAGGGAUUAUUUAACUUGUGGUAGAAAACGCUCUCUCUUAUGCAGUGGUGUGUACAUUCAUUCCAAUUUGCAUUUGAGUUGAAGACGACCUAGAAAUACGACACAAAAGAAACAGAAAAUGAAAAUAAAAAGUUGAAUACAGAGGGGGGAAAAGGCGGAAGAGAAUGUGGUGAAUUUAAUAGGGUGUAUAUACCAUGCAAAGGGACUACAGUUAUUACUUGAUUAUAUGUUGCAGUUGCUCACUAUAGCAUUCAGUUAAUGGGACAUUGGAAAGCAGCCAAAAACAUCCACAUGGUAUUUUCUCACCUUAACACCUAGCCAAUGGGUCCCUACCUACCAAAAUGUUCAACAACUAUAUGAAGCACUGUAUGCAGAAGUUGUUUCGACAUUGUGCUCAUGUUCUGAGGGUUAGCGAGGGGCUAAUGAAAAGACGCCUCAUUUGCAAGUGUAACGUGACAUUCUGCCAGCUUUAACACUGACAUAAAAACCUAAUACAGAUCUGUGAAAUUUUGCAGAAGGUUUUGUGCCACUGUCUCUGGUAUUCCCUGGAUAGUUUGGAGAUUUUACUUUUAAAGUGCAGUAAUGUGAAUGGACUGUACUUUAACUGUCACCCAUUCCAAUAGGACAGCUUUGACGACUUCAGGUUCUCACAAAAUCAUGUGUUCCGUAUACAGGUAGAAGUCAUCAGCCCCCAUUCUGCUAGCAUUGUCCUUUACAAUGUAUUCACUGUACUUCUGCUUACUUUAGUUUGGAUAGAGUAUACCAAGCAAGCACACACAAUCUUUAAAUACAGGUUCCCCCCUGAAUGCAUGCAAAGGAUGUUUUGACUUUCAUGGUUGCACCCAGUUUUAGGCACAUUUUCUUCAUAAUCGUUAGUGGACAUUAAUGGGUGUAAAAAUUAUUCAGUCUCAGCUUAGCUCCGCUUGCUUUAAGAACUCUGUUAAUAAGUGCACUGAAUGAGGGAUGACAAUUGUUUAAUGGAUCCGCUUUAGACACUGCAAUCGUUUGCAACGAUGUUUGUUUCUGCUUUUGCUCCAUAUUAUCAAAUCUAGGUCUUUCAUUUUAUUGUCAGAUUUUUUUUGUCCUUUUAUUUAAUUGCAGUGUUUUUGUUCAUACUGUUUCAAUAAACAACUGAAAACACUCCAAAUAUA